UCGCACGCCUCGCACUCGCAUGCCUCAAUGAAAAAAGACCUACGAAAAAAGACCUACGAAAGAAAAAACAACCACAAAAAAUCAGGCGACUCGCACGCACGAGCGAGGCCUCUAGAUCCCGUCGCCACCGCCCGACACCGCCAGCCCCGUCCUCCUCCCUGGCUCCCGGCGCCGCCCGCCCCCCAUCUCCUCCUGCGAUCCUGGCGUCGCCCCGCCCCACCUUCUUCCUCACUCCCGGCGCUACCUAUCGAUCCCCUCGACGACACAGAGCCGCCAUCCUCUCAUGCGAUCUCGCUGCCGCCACCCUCCGAUCCGCUCCUCCUCUCCCGAGGAUACGCAUCCGCAUCCGCCGACGCCGAUACGGGCAGGCGCGGCCAUCGUGGAUCACGAGGAUCCGGAUGAUGGGGCGGCAGAGAUGGCCACGGAUCUGUUACGGCGACGACGGCGCCGGAUCCGCACCCACAGCAUCCGGAUGGAGGCCGGCGACGAACCCUAGCCUAGACGUCAGCAUCGGGAUCCAACCCCUGCUCUCGGUGCUGGGGCUAGGCAUAUGGGGGUGCUUGCUGCCGCGGUGGACCUCGACGCCGGCGACAUCUGCAGCAUCUCCCUCCCGUCGGGCUGCAGGACCUGUAUGCCCAAGUGGUAGUGAUGGAUCUAGGAUGAGGAUAAACUGGCGAAUAAUCCAGCGGUCGGAUGAGGAUAAAUGGGCGGCUGCAAACUCUGGUCCUCGCCGGCGUCGUGGUCGGAGGCCACGUUGACCCUGCCUUUGCAUCUAGCGGCGCCGGGUUCUUCCCGUUGCUGCACCACCUCGCGGCCGAGGGAGACCAGGCGCUGGCGUGACCCCACUCCCGCUGCUGUUUUGUCUCGUCAGAUAAUCCAUAUCAGGUUAGUUCCAUGCUGCUUCGCUCGACGGCAGUUAUCGUUCUGGCUUGCUCUCUCGUGGGAAGUAGCAUGUGGCUCUGUUAAUUUAUCAGAAGCCUAACACGAAGGAUGAGCAUGUGAGGAUUAAGGAUGCAGGAGGCAAGGUCAUCCGAUGUAAUGGUUACCGAGUGUCUGAAAUACUUCUAUGUCAUGAUUAUCUGGUGUGCAACGACAAGGGCGACGACAGUGUGUCUCGACGAGCGUGAGCAAUGGCAGCAUCAUCUCCGACUCCAAGUACCUGACCAAGACGCUGUCCAGGUCACACGUCGAGGACUUCCUCCUGGACAAUGCCGCCUCCUUGGCUGUUGUUGUCGUCUCCUCAAAUAAGUCGUAUCAGCGCAUUUAGGCUCUGGUCAACAAGUGGACGGACAGGUUGUCCAUUCUUGUUGUUCUUGCGUGUCAAGAUUCUUGGCUGCAGACUUGCAGUUCUGCAGAUACACCAUGAUUGCAGCAGGUGUUGGAAGAAAUCAUCCGAUGGUCAUAACUGACAAAGGAAGUGCUUUGUAUACGGACAAGCUGGGGACGAGUUCACUAAGGAGUGGGACUAAGGUGUCACCACUCCCCUGCCUUGUUACUAAAGCAACUAAUGUUGUUUGUGGUGCUGACUUCACUAUCUAACUGUCAUCGGUUGAGGGAUCUUCCGUACUGUAUGGCCUUCCUGAAACUAUGAAACUUAAAGAUUAGCACGCUCUUUUUUCUUUCAGAUAAAGCAAAAGGCUUUGAUCAUCUUCUCAUGAUAAAAUAUUUAGAUAAUUAUCUGCUUUGGUUGUUAUUAGUGGGGUUUUCCUUCGUCAUUUCUUUGAAGAUGUAUUUAGUUCUUCUGUGCUAUUCAGUACAUCAGGACUUCCUCGGUACGGCUAACUUGGUCAUGGAAGCGAUAAUCAGGUUGGUUGCUACUAUGUUAACACACGACACCUACUAAAUUUGCAACACUAGAGGCGGGGACUCCUAGACCUAUGCUAAUUGAUUUAAUUAAUUAUUAUUAUUAUUCGUUAGGCGUCCAAACAGGCAGCUGAGCGUUGGACAUGGCCUUAUGCCUCCGAAUAAUAUGUUCAUACCCCAUAAGUUCUUUGCAAUAUUCAUACACCCAAUUCAGUACUAUUUUCCAUAUUUUAACUUUACGUACUGUUUUUAUUAUCUGCUGUUAAUUAUAAGUACCAAUCAAAAACUGUUAAUUAUAAGUGCAUAGCAUAGCCCUAUAUUUAUUGUGUUCAGUGACCUUUUUUAUGAAAAUCAUUGCUACGAGUCACCAUUUUAUAAUUGGUGUUCAUAUCCUAAUCCUUUUGUAUUUGCAAGAUCACUCCUUAAUGUUAAGAGGGGAGGGAUGAUUUUAAGGAUAUUUUUGUAAAAGGAGGACAUUGACAAAAACAUUGAAUACAAGGAGCUUGCAACCAUGAUGGAAUGAAUCUUUGCGUGGUAGCCUGCUUGCCGCCCAGAUAGUGAGCCCCUGAGCUCCUGAAGAAAGGACAGUUGAAGGAAAUGAAAGAAGCGAACACAAAGGAUCCUACGCCAAAGGAUGAAGAGGUCGAGGAAGUGAUGGAAGGGGGUGCGUGGAGGAGGACAGGUGCAUGGUGAAGCUGGCGUGAUGGCUGCGAAGGUCAAAGGAGAGAAGGCUAGCACUGGACUUAUUUUGGAGUCUCUUGACAGGCACAUCGCACAUCAACCUUGGGUGAUUUAAGUGAGGGUGGUUCUAUCUUUUCCGCCCUCUAAUUUCUGUCAAUGACUAAAGAUAGAUGAUUAGGGAAAAUUUUAAAAUAUUAGCAUGGAUUAUUGGCCAUGCUGAGUUUUUUACUCUCUCUGCUAUGGUGUUACAGUUAUAGAGGUCUUGCAGACAACUUAGGGGGUGUUUGUUUCCAGGGACUUUUUGGUGUAGGGACUAGAAAAAGUCCCUCUUAGAAACUUUUUAAUCAAACAGGAGGAACUACUAGGGACUAAAAGUUGCUUUUUGGGACUAAAUGAAGAAGACUCUCAAGGAGAGUCUUUUUUUGGGACUUUUUGAGACUUUUUCAACAAUGCCCCUCCCUGCACCCAUUGCCCCACCGGCUCAUGGUGUUGUUUGGUUGUUAUUUUUCUGUAUACUAGCGGUAACAUGGUCAUUUAAUAACUCCAGGGAGGGACUAGCGACUUUUUAGUCCCUGGAAAGCAAACAGGGAGGGACUUUUUAGUUGGGACAAGUCUUAGGACUUAUGAAUCAAACAAGGCCUUAGAUUGA